CAUUUUCAUCGUUCACUUCAACGAUUACAACGAAAUGAUAUUUGAACAUCAUGUCGCACAUGUGUAUAGUAAACUGACUUUCGACCCAGUAUGCAUACAAGUCUGCAUGUGAAAUGGUCUGAUUAGCUAACCAUUGCGUAACAACGCGUAGCAGUGAAAAUUUCUGUUAUAUGCGUUUUUUUUUUGUAUAUUCAAUUAGCCGAAACUUAGUUUAACAGACCAGAACAGAACAUAAAAGUCUGUUGAAUUUUGAUUUUUAUGUAUAUCCAACUUUUUCGGAAUGCCCAUAUUGGUGGCAAUGACAAUUUGGUAUUCUUUUUCUUCUCAAGAGCGAAACCGAAGAAUUCACAAGGAGCGGGAAUAAAUGUUUGACGACGAGCGACUAGUGGGGUUGGUGCGAGGCCACGAAGUAUUAUACAAAAAAAUUGCGUAGGCUACAGACUGCCGGAGAAGAAAAGGUCAGUUUGGGCUACUAUAGCAAAGGAGCUGAAAGCAACAGCGGUGAUCAACCAUAAGAGAGCAAUAUCCCAGGGAAUGCAAACGGGCAGAACGGGCGUCUGAAAAUGAGGCAAAGUCGCAAGAAAAUUUCCCUUUAUUUGAAAGUUUUAAAAUUUUUAAACAGAAAGGGAAUGAGACAUUGCAGUCAUUUGGGCAGCUAAUAUCGUCAAUUAUGAGCAAAUUCAAAUUUGAUCUCCUUUGGAUAUGUACCUAUAUAUAUAAAUCAUGUAAUAUUAAAAUACAAACGUUUUUAUAUAAAUGUUAUAAGUACCUAAACAUAUAAUGUAAA